UGGGGAAUAUUGCACAAUGGGCGCAAGCCUGAUGCAGCGACGCCGCGUGCGGGAUGGAGGCCUUCGGGUUGUAAACCGCUUUUGUUCAAGGGCAAGGCACGGCUUCGGGCCGUGUGAGUGGAUUGUUCGAAUAAGCACCGGCUAACUACGUGCC
rnacentral:rRNA from 1 species